AGAGAGAGAGAUAAAGAUGUUACUUUUAGUUAGGUUUUCAAUUUUGAACAAUGUGUAAUAAUGUUUUAUUCUUUGUUUUAUAGGAUAUGAGUAUGCGGAUUUUAAUUUAGACCUAGACGUUCUAACGGUGACGGGACAAAACAUGAAUCGAAGUAAAAUCCUGAAGAAAUUGAAGAAGAUUUUUUACUCUAUCGACAUUCUUCAGACGUUGUGUGUUCCCCCUAAUUAGUAUG
rnacentral:lncRNA from 1 species